rnacentral:snRNA from 1 species
GGACUUAAGAAAUACAUGCAAUCUGGCUAGCUAGGCAGGUGUCCCCUUCCUUGCUCAAUAUUCCAUGUAUGUCCUUCCUAAAGCUGCACACUUGGUCAAAGAGGACAACUGUCCCUAAUAGAAGACUGUUCAUCAGUUGAGGGUACAUAAGUAGCUGUGCUCCCCUGCUAGAACCUCCAAAAGAGCUCUCAAGAUAUAUAGGUACACACACACACUUUUUGAGACAAUCUACAUAGUUCACACUGGUCUUGAUCUCACAGUAUACCCCAAGCU